rnacentral:rRNA from 1 species
CUACGGAGGGUGCAAGCGUUGUCCGGAUUUAUUGGGUUUAAAGGGUGCGUAGGUGGUUUUUUAAGUCAGUGGUGAAAGCCUACAGCUUAACUGUAGAGGUGCCAUUGAAACUGGAAGACUUGAGUAUGGACGAGGUAGGCGGAAUUUGUGGUGUAGCGGUGAAAUGCAUAGAUACCACAAAGAACACCGAUAGCGAAGGCAGCUUACUAGGCCAUAACUGACACUGAGGCACGAAAGUGUGGGGAGCGAACAGGAUUAGAAACCCCAGUAGUCC